AUGAAAACGCCUAAACCUGCAAAAUCCACUACCCUUCUUAUUUCAAACUUCCGGUUGUACUACCCAGCUAAGCCGAAGAAUCACACCGCUCACAACCAGUCUUAUAAAGCUCACAAGAAUGACAUCAAGAAGACAAAGAGACAUCACCACACUUUCACUAAAAAGAUGGAUCCAAAGUUCUUGAGGAACAAGAGGUAUGCAAGGAAGCACAACAAGAAACUUUUGGAAGUUGUUACUGAAGCAGAGUAA